rnacentral:rRNA from 1 species
UGCGUAGGCGGAAUAUUAAGUCAGUGGUGAAAUCCUGCGGCUCAACCGUAGAACUGCCAUUGAUACUGAUAUUCUUGAAUGUAGUUGAGGUAGGCGGAAUGUGUAAUGUAGCGGUGAAAUGCUUAGAUAUUACACAGAACACCGAUUGCGAAGGCAGCCUACUAAACUAUGAUUGACGCUGAGGCACGAAAGCGUGGGGAGCGAACAGGAUUAGAUACCCUGGUAGUCC